UACGUAGGCAGCGAGCGUUGUUCGGAGUUACUGGGCGUAAAGGGUGCGUAGGCGGUUGUUUAAGUUUGGUGUGAAAUCUCCCGGCUCAACUGGGAGGGUGCGCCGAAUACUGAAUGACUAGAGUGCGGGAGAGGAUAGUGGAAUUCCGGGUGGAGCGGUGAAAUGCAUAGAGAUCCGGAAGAACACCGACGGCGAAGGCAGCGGCCUGGCCGAGAACUGACGCUCAGGCACGAAAGCGCGGGGAGCAAACAGG
rnacentral:rRNA from 1 species